rnacentral:rRNA from 1 species
GGGAAGGCGUAGGGAAACCGAGUCCGAAUAGGGCGAUUCAGUCGCUAGGCGUAGACCCGAAACCGAGCGAUCUACUCAUGGCCAGGAUGAAGGCAGGGUAACACCUGCUGGAGGUCCGAACCGACUAGUGUUGCAAAACUAGCGGAUGAGCUGUGGGUAGGGGUGAAAGGCUAAACAAGCUCGGAAAUAGCUGGUUCUCCCCGAAAACUAUUUAGGUAGUGCGUCGUGUAUUGCUCCGGGGGGUAGAGCACUGUAAUGGUUGCGGGGGUCAUCGUGACUUACCGCGCCAUAGCAAACUCCGAAUACCUGGAAGUAUGAGCACGGCAGACAGACAGUGGGUGCUAACGUCCAUUGUCGAGAGGGAAACAACCCAGACCGUCGGCUAAGGUCCCCAAGAUCGGCUAAGUGGGAAACGAAGUGGGAAGGCUAAAACAGUCAGGAGGUUGGCUUAGAAGCAGCCAUCCUUUAAAGAAAGCGUAAUAGCUCACUGAUCGAGUCGUCCUGCGCGGAAGAUGUAACGGGGCUAAGCCAGUCACCGAAGCCACGGACUUGCGCAAGCAAGUGGUAGGGGAGCGUUCUGUACGCCUGCGAAGGUGAGUCGUAAGGCUCGCUGGAGGUAUCAGAAGUGCGAAUGCUGACAUGAGUAGCGUUAAAGCGGGUGAAAGGCCCGCUCGCCGUAAGCGCAAGGUUUCCUACGCAACGUUCAUCGGCGUAGGGUGAGUCGGCCCCUAAGGCGAGGGCGAAAGCCGUAGCUGAUGGGAAGCAGGUUAAUAUUCCUGCACCGCUCUUCAGUGCGAUGGGGGGACGGAUCGUGGAAGGUUGUCCGGGUGUUGGAUGUCCCGGUUCUUGGUCUGUAGGUGUCCGGUAGGCAAAUCCGCCGGGCGUAUGCCGAGGGAUCGAGACGAGCGAGCUUGCUCGCGAAGCAACUGGAAGUGGUCCCAGGAAAAGCCUCUAAGCUUCAGCUGAAGACGACCGUACCGCAAACCGACACUGGUGCGCGAGAUGAGUAUUCUCAGGCGCUUGAGAGAACUCGGGAGAAGGAACUCGGCAAAUUGACACCGUAACUUCGGAAGAAGGUGUGCCUUUGUAGUUUGACCGUGAACAACGGGAGGACGAAGAGGUUGCAAAAAAUCGGUGGCUGCGACUGUUUAAUAAAAACACAGCACUCUGCAAACACGAAAGUGGACGUAUAGGGUGUGACGCCUGCCCGGUGCCGGAAGGUUAAGAGGAGGUGUGCAAGCACCGAAUCGAAGCCCCGGUAAACGG